rnacentral:lncRNA from 1 species
UUUCUCUGCAGUCUGGCUAGCAUCUGUUAUUCAAAAUACUCUUUAGUGACUGCUACAUCUUCCCUGCCUCAUAAUCACCACCCUGUUACUACACUUCUGGGGAUUACUUACCAAAUAACAUCCCUGUAGCCAAGUCCUAGACACUGCUUUUGGGGAAACCAAAAUUAAGAUACUAGAAGACCUCUUGGGUGUCAAAUGUUUGGAGCACUAAACAUUGGUAACCUGGAUCCCAAAAUGAGAACAGAAGAACCACUUCAUGUGACUUGAACCAGAUCUGAAAUCUGAAGUGAAGCCCAGAAGAGUGUAGCUGAAGACAAGUGAACCUACUUGACCAGCAAACGCACAUAGUUGGAGAUGAGGUCUGGAGAUGUUUCCCAGGCUGGAUUCGAACUUCUGGGCUCAUGUCAUCCUCCUGUCUCGGCCUCCAGAGUAGCUGGGACCACAGGCACAUGCCACCAUGCCUGGCUGGUUACUGUACACAUUUAAAGAUUAAAAAAAAAAUCAAGGGUGUUUGAAAAAAAAAAUACUACCCUGUCUGUGUGUUCAUUUACAUACCCCUAUAGGCACUGGAGUUUUUGAUAUCUAGGUAGGUCAACAGAACAAAAAGACUCCUUUCUCACCUACCCCAAAGCCCAGAUCAACAAAACAGUUAAAAAAAAGAAAGAAAAAAAAAAAAAAAAGAAAAAAACCUCAGCUGCGCAGACAAACACAGAAACUGAGGAUGGGGAGAAGAAAGUUGUGGAUUCUAUUCCAGAUGCAAUUUCCAAUCUCCUAUGCAUAGUAACAGACAACUCCUUCCUAAUGUAAAUUGCCAGCCAUCAAGUAUUCUUAGGUGGUAUUUGAAUUUAAGUAAAAUGACUCCUUGGGCAACUACCUGACGGCCAACAGCUUUUACAACAUGUUUUCUGAUAUAAACUGUUUUACAAAGAGCUUGUAUCUUUUUACUACCAAGCAUUACAUUCUGAACAGAAACUUAAUAAGAUUUUUCAGCAGAGAUUUUUAAGAGUUUCCAUCAUAGGACCUAACAACAACUGUGUUCUAUUAUUUUUAGUGCAAGAGUAAAGACCCAAGAGAAACAGCAUUUUCAAUUUGACUUUAUGGCCCCCCAAGUUGUGCUCAAGGUAAAUCAGAGUUAAAAACUGGUACUGGGAAAAGAGCAAAGACUUUCGACUCCAACUUGGGUUUGAAAUCCACUACUACUUAUGAGCUAUUGCACUUUGGGCAAGUUGCUUAAGUCAUUUGUGUCUCAGUUUUCUCAUCUAUUAACAAAAGUAAUUCUACUCUAUAGAAUUGAUGCAGCAAAGGUUUAUAGUAUGGAGCCUCAUACAUAGUAGGGUAUCCCAAAUGCUUUAGUUCUAUGUAACUCAACUCAAACCGGCUUAAGAAAAAAUGAAAAUUUCUUGGCCUGCCUAACUGAAAAGUUCAGCGUAAGGUGGCUUCAGGCAUAGCUGGAUCCAGGAGCUCAAACAAUGUCAUCAGGAUACAAUCACCCCCAACUUUAGGCUUCAUUCUUCAUUGAGCCCAGUGGACUAGCUAGCUUAUUUCUGGAGCAAGCAAAACAGAAAACUCUGAAAGAACAGAGGCUGAGAUGCAGGAAGGCCUGGAUGAACCCUUUCCGGACAGGAAAAAACAGGUUUGGACACCAUAGCCCAUGUGAUGUGUCCUAGUGGGAAUGGCAUUCAGGCCAGCGUAAGGACACAUUUCAUCUUUGAGGGCAGCAAAGAUCCCCUGGUGGCCAUCAAGCAGACCACCCGGAGGCAAAACUCCUUAGCUGUGGAAUUCAGAAGUAAUUAGACUUUUCUAUUAUCUGAAACAGACAUCUGGUACCAGGCUUCUUUUCUAAAAUGUGUAAGAAACUAGAAUUUCUAUACAUCUCUGCAUAGCAUGCAUGUCAGAACUCAUUGUGCAAACCUUGCUGACAUCAAGGCACCAAAAUGUCUACAAAUGUAAUCAUUUAUCAUGACCAACAUGGAUGAUAGGGCCCAAAUUACCCUUAGGCUCUGUAUUAGUUCAUGCUCAUGCUGCUAAUAAAGACCUACCUGAGACUGGGUAAUUUAUAAAGGCUAGAGGUUUAAUAGACUCACAGUUCCACAUGCUUGGAGAGGCCUCACAAUCAUGGCUGAAGGUGAAGGAGAAGCAAAGUCACGUCUUACAUGGUGGCAGCCAAGAAAGCAUGUGCGGGGAACUCCCCUUUAUAAAACCAUCAGAUCUUGUGAGACUUAUUCACUAUCAUGAGAAUAGCAUGGGAAAGAUCCACCCCCAUGAUUCAGUUACCUCCCACUGGGUCCCUCCCAUGACAUGUGGGAAUUAUGGGAGCUACAAUUCCAGAUGAGAUUUGGGUGGGGACACAGACAAACCAUAUUAAAGUAAAAAUCCACACCAUGGCACCCUCAGUCCUCUCUUCCUGGGGCACCUUGAUGCCCUCUUCUGCAGGGUUCUUUCUUUUUAACAAAACCUAUACUGUUGUUGGGAAAUUCUUCUUACUACCGGUGAGCCAAUCACUUUCCAUUGCCAGGGCUCUGAUGCCUCUCCUGGUAAUCAUCAUCAAAGUCCCAUGGAACAGGCAGGUCCAAGAUUAUAAUUUCC